GGGUUAAGUCCCGCACGAGCGCAACCCCUGCCUUUAGUUGCCAGCAUUCAGUUGGGCACUCUAAAGGGACUGCCGGUGUAAAACCGGAGGAAGGUGGGGAUGACGUCAAGUCCUCAUGGCCCCUAUGUCCAGGGCUACACACGUGCUACAAUGGCCGAUACAAAGGGCUGCAAACUCGCGAGGGGGAGCCAAUCCCAGAAAAUCGGCCUCAGUUCGGAUCGGAGUCUGCAACUCGACUCCGUGAAGUUGGAAUCGCUAGUAAUCGCGGAUCAGCACGCCGCGGUGAAUACGUUCCCGGGCCUU
rnacentral:rRNA from 1 species